GAUGAAGAACGCAGCGAAAUGCGAUACGUAAUGUGAAUUGCAGAAUUCAGUGAAUCAUCGAGUCUUUGAACGCACAUUGCGCCCCCCGGUAUUCCGGGGGGCAUGCCUGUCCGAGCGUCAUUGCUACCCUCAAGCACGGCUUGUGUGUUGGGCCUCCGUCCUCCUCCCGGGGGACGGGCCCGAAAGGCAGCGGCGGCACCGCGUCCGGUCCUCGAGCGUAUGGGGCUUCGUCACCCGCUCUUGUAGGCCCGGCCGGCGCUUGCCGACACAUCAAUCUUUUUUCCAGGUUGACCUCGGAUCAGGUAGGGAUACCCGCUGAACUUAAGCAUAUCAAUAAGCGGAGGA
rnacentral:misc_RNA from 1 species